AAAACCCAUCCCGGAGGAAGCUGGCGGUUAGGCUGGCUGAAGGCAUUCUGCAUGAUGAACACAACAGUUCUCAAAAAAGUAAUGAUGUCAUACCAGAGCAGCAGGAGGGGGUGGUCUGUGACCAUGUAUGCUUGAUAAAUUCUGGAUUUAAGCAAAGUAGGCCGGCUUCUUUGUCAAUAGACGUAUUGGGUUAUUCCCGGGGGGGCUGCAGCCGGAGCACCUCCCACUCCUUCGCAGGGGUUAUUUCUGAAGACCCCCUCUUGGAGGAGCUCUGCUAGGGCCCUGCGUGCACCUGCUGCCCUGGCAUCCUGGCCAGCAGCUCCGCCAGGCUCUAGUGUGUAUGGCCUGGGCUACCUCCCGGUACUGUCGCCGCAGGCCUUGGGACCCGUUCCCGCCGCGAGGCUCCCGAGGUAGCCCCGGCCUCCGGUUCUUCUCAGAUAGCCCCGUCGUCCAGCCCCAGAAGCGGGCACUAAUGCCUUCCCUGAACGCUGAAAGUUGUUGAAUGGAUAUGGACAAUGAUUAGAAUCAUGUAGAAAACAUUAAGUGAUGGUCAGUAUGUUCUGUUUGGGAAAUACUGAAAUGUGCAACACAAGCUAGAAAUAACAACAUGCAGAACAGCACAACUUUGUAAGACCCGCGCUGAAGGAGGCAGCAUUUGUGUGAGAGCGCCCGGCGCUGCCCAGAAGAGCUGGAACGCCCAAGGAAGGCCGCUGCUCAGCGCAGGACCCCUGGGCUCCCGGAAACGGGAUAGCGUUGCUUAUCUUUAAGCUCGUUGCUGUUCCUCCUAGAGUUGCAGAUUCAAGGGGCCUCACCAGUGACUGUGAUGACUGUAAAACCCAGGCUUGUGGGUGCUAUCUGGACACCAAGGAGACAGAGGCACAUGGCACCACCCAGGACAAGCACUGAAGUUGGACUACCAGGCAUAAGGAAGCCUGGCUGUUGCCAGCCUCUCACCUGCAGAAGAUGCACCUCAUAGCACCCUGGACAGGUGAACCAAGACACAUCACUGAAGUGCCAAUACAUGCACCCCUGAGGGCCCAAAGCCAACCUGAGGGCUCUGCCUGCCUGGCUCCCUGCACCCGAGUCCCCAGAAACGUGCUCACAGCACAGGGAGCUCCAGAGCCCAAGCCUCGGAGUGUUGGAAAACAACAUCAACAUGAGAAAUGGGUGCUAGGAGUACCUUUGUAGGUGACAUUAAAAUGCUUACAUUAGAUAGCAGAGAUGAGACCAAAGAAACUGGGGGGAGGGGGUGCCCCCAGCCCUGACACUGUGGGCCUUUGCCUGUAUGCAGCCUUUGCCCUGCAAGGGACAGCAGCUUCCUCUGCCUAUAAUACCUGCAAGCCUCCCAUUCUCAUGGAGUGCUUCCUUUUGGCUUUUUGCUUUUAGGUUUCUUUUGUUUGUUUUUAAUUUUAAGAAUAACCUG
rnacentral:lncRNA from 1 species